rnacentral:miRNA from 1 species
AAGAACUGAUUUUGUAUACUAUAUACAAAAUCGGUUCUGAAAUCUUUUAGAACCGAUUUUGUAUAUAGUAUACAAAAUCGGUUCUU